CCCAAUAAGUCUGCAUACCAAAGAUCACAGCCUUAAUUAGUUGAGUUCUACCAGCAUAUGAUAAAAGCUUUGCAGACCAACAAGUAAUUCUAGCUGUGAUCUUUUCAAUGAGAGGCAGGUAAUGCUGUAUGGAUAGCUUCUUGGAAUCCAGAGGAACUCCAAGGUAUCUAAAAGGCAAAUGCCCUUCAAUGAAGCCAAGAGCAGCAAUAAUCAUCUUUUUAGUAUCCUGAGGAAUUCCUGCUAAAUAAAUAGCACUCUUUCCUACAUUUGCCUGAAGACCNN
rnacentral:lncRNA from 1 species